rnacentral:rRNA from 1 species
CCUACGGGCGGCAGCAGUGGGGAAUAUUGGGUAAUGGGCGCAAGCCUGACCCAGCAACGCCGCGUGAAGGAAGAAGGCUUUCGGGUUGUAAACUUCUUUUAAGGGGGAAGAGCAGAAGACGGUACCCCUUGAAUAAGCCACGGCUAACUACGUGCCAGCAGCCGCGGUAAUACGUAGGUGGCAAGCGUUGUCCGGAUUUACUGGGUGUAAAGGGCGUGCAGCCGGAGAGACAAGUCAGAUGUGAAAUCCACGGGCUCAACCCGUGAACUGCAUUUGAAACUGUUUCCCUUGAGUGUCGGAGAGGUAAUCGGAAUUCCUUGUGUAGCGGUGAAAUGCGUAGAUAUAAGGAAGAACACCAGUGGCGAAGGCGGAUUACUGGACGAUAACUGACGGUGAGGCGCGAAAGCGUGGGGAGCAAACAGGAUUAGAUACCCCUGUAGUC